rnacentral:rRNA from 1 species
AGAGAGAGACAUGCGCGCAUAUCAAUAAGCGGAGGAAAAGAAACUAACAAGGAUUCCCCUAGUAACGGCGAGUGAAGCGGGAAGAGCUCAAAUUUGAAAUCUUAAAGGGUUUCCCUUUACGAAUUGUAGUUUAAAGAAGUGUUUUCUGUUGAGGUUUUGGUAAAAGUUCUUUGGAAUAGGACAUCAUAGAGGGUAAGAAUCCCGUAUUUGACCUUUACUUUCAACUUUGUGAUACACUUUCAAAGAGUCGGAUUGUUUGGGAAUGCAGUCCAAAAUGGGUGGUAAAUCUCAUCUAAAGCUAAAUAUUGGCGAGAGACCGAUAGCGAACAAGUACCGUGAGGGAAAGAUGAAAAGAACUUUGAAAAGAGAGUUAAACAGUACGUGAAAUUGUCAAAAGGGAAGCGUUUGACACCAGUGUUGUUUUUCUGAAAAUCAAUUAAAGAACUGUUUAUGCUAAGCUGUUUAGACUUUAUCAGCUAAUCUGUUUAGUUUUGAGCUUUUCUUUAAUGCACUUUUCAGUUAACAAGUCAACAUCAAUUUCUUUUGCUGUAAAAAAGCUUGAGGAAGGUGGCUUGAGAUUCGUCUUAAGUGUUUAUAGCCUCUUGCCUAUGCAGUCGGAGAGAUUGAGGUCUGCAGCGUAGAUCCUUCGGGGCUAAAUGCAUUUGUGCUAAGUUAUAGCAUUUUAUAGACAACUUGUUGACUAUGAUUUGUCUUGUAGCUUACUCGCUUAUGUUAUUUUACCUACGCUUAGGAUGUUGACGCAUGAGAUAUACGC